UACGACUACAUAUCAGGCAUAUCAAUAAGCGGAGGAAAAGAAACUAACAAGGAUUCCCUUAGUAACGGCGAGUGAAGCGGGAAGAGCUCAAAUUUGAAAUCUUCAAGGUUCUACCUUGACGAAUUGUAGUUUAAAGAAGUGUUUUCUGUUAGAUGAGUAGCAAAAGUUCCUUGGAAUGGGACAUCAUAGAGGGUGAGAAUCCCGUAUUUGGUUAUUCAUUCUAGCUUUGUGAUACACUUUCAAAGAGUCGGAUUGUUUGGGAAUGCAGUCCAAAAUGGGUGGUAAAUUUCAUCUAAAGCUAAAUAUUGGCGAGAGACCGAUAGCGAACAAGUACCGUGAGGGAAAGAUGAAAAGAACUUUGAAAAGAGAGUUAAACAGUACGUGAAAUUGUCAAAAGGGAAGCGUUUGACACCAGUGUUGUUUUUCCGAAAAUCAAUUACGAAUGGCUUGAUUUUGUGUUGUAUUGACCUUAUCAGCUUUCUUCACUUUUUUCGAGUCUUUCUUAAUGCACUUUUCGGUUAACAAGUCAACAUCAAUUUCUUUUGUUGUAAAAGAGUAUUCGGAAGGUGGCUUUCUUUUCGGAGAAAGUGUUUAUAGCCCUAUACUUCUACAAUCGGAGAGAUUGAGGUCUGCAGCGUAGAUCCUUCGGGGUUAGAUACACUUGUGCUAAGUUGUAGCUCUUCAUAGACAACUUGUUGACUAUGUUUAGUCAUGCGGCUUACUCGCUUGUGCUAUUUUACCUACGCUUAGGAUGUUGAGUAGCGACAUACGCAC
rnacentral:rRNA from 1 species